rnacentral:rRNA from 1 species
AGUGAACGCUGGCGGUAGGCCUAACACAUGCAAGUCGAACGGCAGCACAGUAAGAGCUUGCUCUUACGGGUGGCGAGUGGCGGACGGGUGAGGAAUACAUCGGAAUCUACUUUUUCGUGGGGGAUAACGUAGGGAAACUUACGCUAAUACCGCAUACGACCUACGGGUGAAAGCAGGGGAUCUUCGGACCUUGCGCGAUUGAAUGAGCCGGUGUCGGAUUAGCUAGUUGGCGGGGUAACGGCCCACCAAGGCGACGAUGCGUAGCUGGCCUGAGAGGAUGAUCGGCCACACUGGAACUGAGACACGGUCCAGACGCCUACGGGAGGCAGCAGUAGGGAAUCUUCCGCAAUGGGCGAAAGCAUGACGGAGCAACGCCGCGUGAGUGAUGAAGGUCUUCGGAUCGUAAAACUCUGUUAUUAGGGAAGAACAAAUGUGUAAGUAACUAUGCACGUCUUGACGGUACCUAAUCAGAAAGCCACGGCUAACUACGUG